rnacentral:rRNA from 1 species
CGCCAGACUCCUACGGGAGGCAGCAGUCGGGAAUAUUGCGCAAUGGAGGAAACUCUGACGCAGUGACGCCGCGUAUAGGACGAAGGUCUUCGGAUUGUAAACUAUUGUCGUUAGGGAAGAGAAAGGACAGUACCUAAGGAGGAAGCACCGGCUAACUCCGUGCCAGCAGCCGCGGUAAUACGGGGGGUGCAAGCGUUGUCCGGAAUCAUUGGGCGUAAAGAGUUCGUAGGCGGCACGUAAAGUCUGGUGUUAAAGGCAGAGGCUCAACUUCUGUACGGCACUGGAUACUUGCGAGCUAGAAUGCGGUAGAGGUAAAGGGAAUUCCUGGUGUAGCGGUGAAAUGCUUAGAUAUCAGGAGGAACAUCGGUGGCGUAAGCGCUUUACUGGGCCGUAAUUGACGCUGAGGAACGAAAGCCAGGGUAGCAAAUGGGAUUAGAUACCCCAGUAUU